rfam:Marinactinospora thermotolerans DSM 45154 genome assembly, contig: G546DRAFT_scaffold00037.37
GGCCAAGUUAGUGUGGCACACGGUGGAUGCCUUGGCAUCAGGCGCCGAUGAAGGACGUGGGAGGCCGCGAUAGUCCACGGGGAGUUGUCAACCGAGCUGUGAUCCGUGGGUGUCCGAAUGGGGGAACCUAGCCCGAGUCAUUUCGGGUUGCCGCUGUCUGAAUGUAUAGGGCAGUUGGUGGUGACGCGGGGAAGUGAAACAUCUCAGUACCCGCAGGAAGAGAAAACAAGAGUGAUUCCCUGAGUAGUGGUGAGCGAAAGGGGAUGUGGCUAAACCGUGCGCGUGUGAUAGACGGCAGUUGUUGCGUGUGCGGGGUUGUGGGGCGCGUUUUUCUCAGGUCUGCCGGCCUGGGGCGUUUUUGGUCGAUGGUAGCUGAAGUCGUUGGGAAGCGGCACCGGAGUGGGUGAGAGUCCCGUAGGUGAAGCUGUCGGCCGGGCGUGAGCGUGUUCCCGAGUAGCGCGGAGCUCGUGGAAUUCCGUGUGAAUCUGGCAGGACCACCUGCUAAGCCUAAAUACGUCCUGAUGACCGAUAGUGCACUAGUACCGUGAGGGAAAGGUGAAAAGUGCCCCGGUGAGGGGUCGUGAAAUAGUACCUGAAACCGUGUGCUGUCAAGCCGUCAGAGCCUUUUGGGGUGAUGGCGUGCCUUUUGAAGAAUGAGCCUGCGAGUCAUGGUGUGUGGCGAGGUUAACCCGGGUGGGGUAGCCGUAGCGAAAGCGAGUCUGAAUAGGGCGUUGAGUCGCAUGCUGUGGACCCGAAGCGGGGUGAUCUACCCAUGUCCAGGGUGAAGCGGAGGUAAGACUUCGUGGAGGCCCGAACCCACCAGGGUUGAAAACCUGGGGGAUGAGGUGUGGGUAGGGGUGAAAGGCCAAUCAAACUCCGUGAUAGCUGGUUCUCCCCGAAAUGCAUUUAGGUGCAGCGUUGCGUGUUGCUUGCCGGAGGUAGAGCUACUGGUUGGCUGAUGGGCCCGACAAGGUUACUGAGGUCAGCUAAACUCCGAAUGCCGGUGAAGUUAAGCGUGGCAGUGAGACUGCGGGGGAUAAGCUUCGUAGUCGAGAGGGAAACAGCCCAGAUCAUCAGCUAAGGCCCCUAAGCGUGUGCUAAGUGGGAAAGGUUGUGGAGUUGCUGAGACAACCAGGAGGUUGGCUUAGAAGCAGCCAUCCUUUAAAGAGUGCGUAAUAGCUCACUGGUCAAGUGAUUCUGCGCCGAUAAUGUAACGGGGCUUAAGUGCACCGCCGAAGCUGUGGAGCCUGCCGUUUGGUGGGUUGGUAGGGGAGCGUCCGGCAUCCUGUGAAGCUGCGGAGUGAUCCUGUGGUGGAGGGUGUUGGAGUGAGAAUGCAGGCAUGAGUAGCGAUACCAGUGUGAGAAACACUGGCGCCGAUUGACUAAGGGUUCCUGGGGCAGGUUAAUCCGCCCAGGGUGAGUCGGGGCCUAAGGCGAGGCCGACAGGCGUAGUCGAUGGAUAACGGGUUGAUAUUCCCGUACCCGUUCACGUGCGCCCAUACCGAACCUUUUGAUGCUAACCACCACUGAAGCCGGUUGGUGCCUUCGGGUGCUUUCUGGUGGAGGCGUGGGACCCGAUUUGGUAGUAGGUAAGCGAUGGGGUGACGCAGGAGGGUAGCUCUACCGGGCGGUGGUUGUCCCGGGAUAAGCGUGUAGGCCGAGGGGUAGGUAAAUCCGUCCCUU